rnacentral:rRNA from 1 species
UACGAAGGGGGCGAGCGUUGUUCGGAAUUACUGGGCGUAAAGGGCGCGCAGGCGGCCCUUGAAGUCAGGCGUGAAAGCCCCGGGCUCAACCUGGGAGGUGCGCUUGAUACUCGAGGGCUUGAGUGCGGGAGAGGAGAGUGGAAUUCCCAGUGUAGAGGUGAAAUUCGUAGAUAUUGGGAAGAACACCGGUGGCGAAGGCGGCGACCUGGUCCGGGACUGACGCUGAGGCGCGAAAGCGUGGGGAGCAAACAGG